CUAGGUUCGGGUCCGGGGGGUAAGGGACUGGUUCCGUUACCAAGGCCUUCCGUAAAAAUCCUUCGUUAGAAUGAAUGGCCGUCCCCCUCCCCCCCGGAGGGGUGGUCCCUUCGCUGGGUCGGAUUCCUUCCCCCCUGAAUUUCGUAGGGCCGAUUAAGUUGGUCUGCCGCUCCUUUUUCUGCGGUACUUCCCCCCAACCGUAAUGACUUGCUUGUUCUUCUACAAAGACGAUGCCGGAGAAGACCACCCUUGUGAUUCUCGUGUGGGUGUGUGUCGUCCCCCCCGUAGGAGGUUCCCCCCCCUCGCGUGUUGUCGUUUUUUUUGGGCGGCACCGCAGUCUAUAACCCGGAGAGCAUAUCUCUUCUUAAAAAAGAAUAACUUGGGCGCCAGAUUUCCAGAUAGCGGCACAAGUAGAGUGAUUGAAAGAUGAAAAGCUCUUUGGAAAGAGAGUCAAAAAGCACGUGAAAUUGUUGAAAGGGAAGCGCUUGCAGCCAGACUUGCAUACAGUUGCUCAUCCGGGACAACGCCCGGUGCACUCUUCUGUUGGCAGGCCAGCAUCAGUCCAGGCGGUCGGAUAAAGGCCUCGGGAAUGUGGCUCUCUUCGGGGAGUGUUAUAGCCCGGGGUGCAAUGCGGCCAGCUUGGACUGAGGUCCGCGCAUCUGCUAGGAUGCUGGCGUAAUGGCUGUAAGCGGCCCGUCUUGAAACACGGACCAAGGAGUCUAACAUCUAUGCGAGUGUUUGGGUGUCAAGCCCGGGCGCGCAAUGAAAGUGAACGGAGGUGGGAACCCCUCGGGGCGCACCAUCGACCGAUCCUGAUGUCUUCGGAUGGAUUUGAGUAAGAGCAUAGCUGUUGGGACCCGAAAGAUGGUGAACUAUGCCUGAAUAGGGUGAAGCCAGAGGAAACUCUGGUGGAGGCUCGCAGCGGUUCUGACAUGCAAAUCGAUCGUCAAAUUUGCCUAGAGGAAGCGCACUUUGGGGCCCGGCCGCCUCC
rnacentral:rRNA from 1 species